CUAACAACUUUACUUUGAUGUUUUAGGCGCUUGACACAUUUAACACAGCCGUUGUCUCCCCCAUAUACUACGUGAUGUUCACAACACUUACAAUCCUAGCCAGCGUCAUUAUGUUUAAGGACUGGGAUGGCCAAAGUGGAGGAACCAUAGUAACAUAAAUAUGUGGCUUUAUUGUUGUGCUUUCUGGAACAAUCUUAUUGCAUUCGACCAAAGACUUUGAGAGAAGCUCAUCUUUUAGAGGUAACAACUAUGCACCUGUGUCCCCCUCAUUGUCUACCCGACUCUGCAGCGGAAAUGGGGAAUUACUGAAGUAUGACGAGGAAGAAGAAACACGUCCUGAGGAAGUUUGCUUAAGAAGACAAGAAGUGUAUUAGAUUGUCCCAUUCAGAGGAUACCAUUGCAUUACUUCAAAUCAACAGGCAAGGCACAACUGAAAUUUGAACAGCUUUGAGAAAGAUGCCCAUCAAGUGACUCUCCACGUCCAGUUCAGGUCAUAGCU